rnacentral:rRNA from 1 species
UACGUAGGGGGCAAGCGUUGUCCGGAAUUAUUGGGCGUAAAGAGCGCGUAGGCGGUCCGAUAAGUCGGCUGUGAAAGUCAGGGGCUCAACCCUUGGAAGCCGGCCGAUACUGUCGGACUAGAGUCCGGAAGAGGCGAGUGGAAUCCCGGUGUAGCGGUGAAAUGCGCAGAUAUCGGGAGGAACACCAAUGGCGAAGGCAGCUCGCUGGGACGGUACUGACGCUGAGGCGCGAAAGCGUGGGGAGCAAACAGGG